GACGAACGCUGGCGGCGUGCUUAACACAUGCAAGUCGAGCGGUAAGGCCCUUCGGGGUACACGAGCGGCGAACGGGUGAGUAACACGUGGGUGAUCUGCCUCGCACUUCGGGAUAAGCCUGGGAAACUGGGUCUAAUACCGGAUAUGACCACGGAUCGCAUGGUUUGUGGUGGAAAGGUUUACUGGUGCGAGAUGGGCCCGCGGCCUAUCAGCUUGUUGGUGGGGUAAUGGCCUACCAAGGCGACGACGGGUAGCCGGCCUGAGAGGGCGACCGGCCACACUGGGACUGAGACACGGCCCAGACUCCUACGGGAGGCAGCAGUGGGGAAUAUUGCACAAUGGGCGAAAGCCUGAUGCAGCGACGCCGCGUGAGGGAUGACGGCCUUCGGGUUGUAAACCUCUUUCGACAGGGACGAAGCGUAAGUGACGGUACCUGUAGAAGAAGCACCGGCCAACUACGUG
rnacentral:rRNA from 1 species